GAUGAAGAACGUAGCGAAAUGCGAUAAGUAAUGUGAAUUGCAGAAUUCAGUGAAUCAUCGAAUCUUUGAACGCAUCUUGCGCUCCUUGGUAUUCCUUGGAGCAUGUCUGUUUGAGUAUCAUGAGCAAAUCUCAAAGUCAAUUCCUUUUGUUGAUUCAAUUGGUUUUGCUUUGGACUUGGAGGCCUUGCAGAUUUCACAGUCUGCUCCUCUUAAAUGCAUUAGCUGGAUCUCAGUAAUUAUGCUUGGUUCCACUCGGCGUGAUAAGUAUCACUCGCUGAGGACACUGUUAAAAAGGUGGCCAGGAAAAUACUGAUUGAACCGCUACUAACGGUCUAUUAAGUUAGACAAUUACCCUUAAGUUUGAUCUCAAAUCAGGUAGGACUACCCGCUGAACUUAAGCAUAUCAAUAAGCGGAGGA
rnacentral:misc_RNA from 1 species